UGUGACAUUUGAACUCUGUGAUGAUGAGUCUUUCUUUACCCUUAUGAGUAUUCUGGUUCGUAGUUUUGUUUGGUACUCCAGUAGAUUAUUUAGCCUAUGACGUAAGAGUGCAGCCAUGUCAGUGUGCGGAAACACCUUUGGUUCCUUAAUGGGUUUUAGUUAAAGACAAGCUUAAAGAGACAGUGUCUUUUUUUGGUCUGAUAACGGGAUGACUGAGGAGAAAAUGUUGUGUUUCUCUGCUGUUCUGCUGCUGUGUUCUCAGACCUCCUCAUUGACAUUGCAAGAUUUCUUACAAUCAAACGGAAAAUAAUCUGCUCAGAUCCCUCCUCACCAUGGGCCAUUAAAUCAAUGAAGUACCUGGAUGGAAAGAACAAACCUCACUCUACAACUCCAAAAUGCGCUCCUCCAAUGGUUUAUACCACACGGAAAAUAGACAUAGGAGGGCACGCAACACAAAAAACAGAAAGGGAUUGGAGAGGAUCUUCUAAAGUCAUAGAGACAUUUGGGCUGGCAUGGGAGGAAAAGAAAGAGUCCUUAUUAACAGAAACAACUUCAUCAACUAUUAUGAAAUUCAACAUAAAAGGACACACAAAACAAAAAAACAGAAAACAAGAAAGAGUUUCUCAUCUCAAGAACCAAAUCACCAGAGCAGGAUUGGAGAGAAUCUACUGAAACCACAGAGAUGAUUCAGCAGGAUGGACUCACAUGGGAGGAAGGGAGAGAGACAGAGUCCAUAUUUACAGAAACAACUUCAUCAACCAUUAUGAAUGAGUCAUUUAUUAACAAUGGUUACUUUUGCUUAAAAUGGGAGAAGUUUCAAUACUUGGGGUAAUUUAAUUUUAUAUUAAUUUUAUAUUUAGCAGCCCUAUGAAUGAUUCAUGACCUAUUCAAAUUUUAUCUGUAUAUAUUUGUAUGGAACCAUUUUUGUAUGCAGUGCCUUUUUAAUUACAUGACUUGUAAAAAAAAAAAAAAAAAAAGCUGUGUGGAGAAGACAUUUUUAACAUUGCAUUAAGAAAAGGAUGUAAAUUUUGGGUAACACUUUAUAAUAACUUUCAUUAAUAAAUCAUUAACAAGCAUUAUAUAAUGAUUAAUA
ensembl:lncRNA